UUACAUUUUUGUAAAUACAAUAAAGACAAUAAUUAUGUGGCCAAAACAGCCAUUUAAAAUCUGCUGCUUGGUUUCACACCAUCCACCUUAGGCUGAACCUGGUGGUGUUCAGUGUCUUUUAGAGUAACUAACAGUAACUAACCCUGACCUGCAGCUCAACCUUUUCCUGCACUGUGGAGAGCUCCUGAUACGCAUCAGUAUCAGUGUAAUAUGCAGUCACUGCGAUGGUCGUUAACCAACUACACACAUCUGUCAUAACUUUAUUAAGUUCCAUGAAACAUAAAGGAGCAGCUCUUUAUGACAGAGCAUGCAGCAGAUUUUAGCCGCUCUGCCCCCCCCCCCCCCCCCCCCGGGUGUCCAGCUGUUUAAGCUCCACCAAAAUGAUUUGAUUUAAUCGGACUUUAAUUAGACACAUUUGAAAUAAACUUUUCUAGUAACUGUGUUCUCAUAUGCACGUGUAUGUAAUUCAGUUACCUUUGAAAUCAGUAAGUAGUAACUCUGACUGACCUAGUGCUGGACCAAUAAUGAUGUGGUAAUUACAGUAUGAUUUGGGCCUUCAGAGAGCGCUCUCAUGUUAAAUGCUGCUCCUCCUAAAAGCUGCAGCUGCUGAGGGCGGAGCAGGAGAAGCAGAUCUGAGCCCAAAGCACACGAGAUCUGUUCAACCACCCGAGUCACCAGCUGCUCUGGCACACCCGCAGCUGUGUUAGCUGUAGAUGGGCCCCCACCUCCAUCGGCCAGCUCUCCCCCCGUUAGCCUGAAUCACACUGUGACGUGCUGCUCCUUCUCAUCUACACCUGUGUGAUGUAUUUGUUGACGUUCAGUUCUCUCGGCAAAUACACUCUUCUUCUGUGUAAUGACCCUUCUUUCAUUUGUAAGCUAGAGGAGGCCUGGCUGUCAGCACACCUCCAGCUCCUUCCCACAGGCUGCGUGUGUCAUGUGACCUGUUCCCCCGAUGUGUUCGUAUCCCAUCGAUGAACAAUCUUCUGCAGUGAUCGGCUUUUGUUUCUUUGUCCCCAUUUUGAGGCUUUCAUGAGGAGCGAUACAUUUUGGCUCGUGGUGCCAAAAGCUGGAAUCCUUUUCACUUCAAUCCUUUGUGUCUUUGUUGAUUCAGAAACAUGCUGACAGAGAUGGGCAUCAUGUCAUGAAUGUAUCACAUCAACAUCUUGCUGUAUUUUUCCUUCUAUUUGUAAAGGGAGUAUUUACAUGAUUUAUAUAGUUCAUAUAAUUAUACGGUUCAUAUCGUUUGUCAGUAUUUGAUCAACUCCAUGCCUGACAUGUGUUUUCUACACAGAUCUUGAUGUUGUUAUUGUGUCUUCUGGAUUAAACGAUGUAUUUUACUGAAA